UAAAAUAUAGAUGGCUCUAAAGCUCUAUUUAGUUACAUGCGUUAGGUUAACUGAUCUUUUUCUUUUGUUUUUAGUUUUUUAUUUUGGUCACAUGGAUGAUGAAUUUUAAUAGAUUCAAAGAGCACUAAGAGCGUUUUUAUAAUCAGGUUUCAAAUUCUUUUGAUGCUAAAUUUUUUAAAAAUACACACAUAUAUAUAGAGUGCUAUGUUUUGUUUAUGCGCUUGUUCUUUUGUGUGCCUGUGAGUUGUGUGUUGGUGGCCUUGGCGGCAGAAAAGGAGGGUUGAUUGAGCAGAUUGGUGUAUUGGAUACGUAAAACCCGGGAGAGGAGGAUACGUUGCUUUCCAUCACAAACCAACUUGUUGAAUUCGCAUUGCCUUGGGAUACAGUUGUCUAGCCCCAACAAGGACCUGCAGGUAAUUCCGCUCAGCUAUGAGCGUGGUGCACAAGCACUUGGCCCUCAAGAACUGUCUCCUUCAUUGCCCAUUUGGGGAGUUGAGUGGCAGUAAAACCCUGCACUGCACAACAACACAAACACAGAGAGGAGUUGGUGUAGAUGAGUAAAAGAGCACAGCAAGAAAUAAAUACACCACUGCCCACAGUCUGGAUUAUCUUUCUUCUAGCUUCCUUUUUUUUCCCUCUGCUUCACCAAAUAGCAAUACCAUCCUACUCUUCUUUUCUCCUUCGCCUUCUUCACCGCUCACACACCACAGAAAAAGAGAAGAUGGAAGCUGUAGUUGCAGAUGAAGAAGAAGAAGAAGAAGAGGAAGAUACAGAGCAACUGACAGCUUGAGUUUUCAGUCUCAACCUGUAGAGUUAAAUCGCAAUAAAUGGUCAAGAGGUGUGGAAUGUGUAAACCCUAAGAGAGUCUUCUUAGUUGCAGGUAGAAGACAAAGCUCUUCUUUGCUGCCUGGAAAUUAAGAGUAAAAAACUAUACAAAUCUUUUGUAUGAUCAUUUGUUCAAUCAUACUGCUGCAUUUGGAGGUGUAAUAAUUUGAGCAAGUGUUUUCCCCCCUUGCUUCAUGAUCAACGACUAUUAAAAUAGAGAUAAAAACGACUAUUUUCUCAGAUGCAAAA